AUUGAACGCUGGCGGCAGGCCUAACACAUGCAAGUCGAACGAGUGGCGGACGGGUGAGUAAUGUAUGGGAAACUGCCUGAUGGAGGGGGAUAACUACUGGAAACGGUCGCUAAUACCGCAUACCAUCGGAUGUGCCCAUAUGGGAUUAGCUAGUAGGUGGGGUAAAGGCUCACCUAGGCGACGAUCCCUAGCUGGUCUGAGAGGAUGACCAGCCACACGGGAACUGAGACACGGUCCAGACUCAUACGGGAGGCAGCAGUGGGGAAUAUUGCACAAUGGGCGCAAGCCUGAGGCAGCCAUGCCGCGUGUAUGAAGAAGGCCUUCGGGUUGUAAAGUACUUUCAGCGGGGAGGCGUUACCCGCAGAAGAAGCACCGGCUAACUCCGUGCCAGCAGCCGCGGUAAUAC
rnacentral:rRNA from 1 species